UACGGGGGGAGCAAGCGUUGUUCGGAUUUACUGGGCGUAAAGGGCGGGUAGGCGGCCACCGCAAGUCAGUUGUGAAAUCUCCGGGCUUAACCCGGAAAGGUCAACUGAUACUGCGGGGCUAGAGUGCAGAAGGGGCAACUGGAAUUCUCGGUGUAGCGGUGAAAUGCGUAGAUAUCUGGAGGAACACCGGUGGCGAAGGCGACGUCCUGGACCGGCAUUGACGCUGAGGCGCGAAAGCCAGGGGAGCAAAGCGGG
rnacentral:rRNA from 1 species